UACGUAGGGGGCUAGCGUUAUCCGGAUUCAUUGGGCGUAAAGAGCGCGUAGGCGGCUUGUUAAGUCAGAUGUGAAAACCGGGGGCUCAACCCGCGGCCUGCAUCUGAAACUGGCAGGCUUGAGUCUGGUAGAGGAAAGUGGAAUUCCCAGUGUAGCGGUGAAAUGCGCAGAUAUUGGGAGGAACACCAGUGGCGAAGGCGGCUUUCUGGGCCACGACUGACGCUGAGGCGCGAAAGCUAGGGGAG
rnacentral:rRNA from 1 species